CCUACGGGCGGCAGCAGUGAGGAAUAUUGGUCAAUGGACGAGAGUCUGAACCAGCCAAGUAGCGUGAAGGAUGACUGCCCUAUGGGUUGUAAACUUCUUUUAUAUGGGAAUAAAAUGUUCCACGUGUGGGGUUUUGUAUGUACCAUAUGAAUAAGGAUCGGCUAACUCCGUGCCAGCAGCCGCGGUAAUACGGAGGAUCCGAGCGUUAUCCGGAUUUAUUGGGUUUAAAGGGAGCGUAGGUGGAUUGUUAAGUAAGUUGUGAAAGUUUGCGUCUCAACCUUAAAAUGGCAGUUGAAACUGGCAGUCUUGAGUACAGUAGAGGUGGGCGGAAUUCGUGGUGUAGCGGUGAAAUGCUUAGAUAUCACGAAGAACUCCGAUUGCGAAGGCAGUUCACUGGACUGCAACUGACACUGAGGCUCGAAAGUGUGGGUAUCAAACAGGAUUAGAUACCCGAGUAGUC
rnacentral:rRNA from 1 species